rnacentral:rRNA from 1 species
AACGCGAAGAACCUUACCUGGGUUGAACUACGCAGGAAAAGCUGUAGAGAUACAGUGUCCGAAAGGGCCUGCGAUAGGUGGUGCAUGGCUGUCGUCAGCUCGUGUCGUGAGAUGUUGGGUUAAGUCCCGCAACGAGCGCAACCCUUGUCCUAUGUUGCCAGCGGGUUAUGCCGGGGACUCAUAGGAGACUGCCGGGGUCAACUCGGAGGAAGGUGGGGACGAAGUCAAGUCAUCAUGCCCCUUACGUCCAGGGCUGCACACAUGCUACAAUGGCCGGUACAAAGGGCUGCUAUUCCGCGAGGAUGAGCGAAUCCCAAAAAGCCGGUCUCAGUUCGGAUCGUAGUCUGCAACUCGACUACGUGAAGUCGGAGUCGCUAGUAAUCCCGGAUCAGCAACGCCGGGGUGAAUACGUUCCCGGGCCUUGUACACACCGUAGUAC